rnacentral:rRNA from 1 species
UACAGAGGUCUCAAGCGUUUGUUCGGAUUCAUUGGGCGUAAAGGGUGCGUAGGCGGCGCGGUAAGUCGGGUGUGAAAUCUCGGGAGCUUAACUCCGAAACUGCAUUCGGAUACUGCCGUGCUUGAGGACUGGAGAGGAGACUGGAAUUUACGGUGUAGCGGUGAAAUGCGUAGAUGUCGUAAGGAAGACCAGUGGCGAAGGCGGGUCUCUGGACAGUUCCUGACACUGAGACACGGAAGGCCAGGGGAGCAAACGGG